ACAUUAUAAAAGUGUCAACGAAAAAAAAAAACGUCGUCUCUUCAAUUAGUACCUAUACCCGCCUAUCUAUACGUUAUGUAAUAUAAUAUAUUAUAUACUCGAAUUUGAAUAUUUUGGAACGUUUAAAUAAAUUUUAAGUACCUAUACAUUAUAUUAUUCCAUGAAUAAACCUCGAACGUGGUCUUGUAUUAUAAUAAAGAAAUAAAAUAUCGAUUAUUAAACGCUAUACACUAUUCAUUUAAACGCAUAUUAUACAAUACAAUUAUCACCUUUGAUUAGGUUUAAUAUAUUACAUUUAACGGGUGCCCUCACUUUUGAAUAUUGUGAAACCGUACUAGGGGCAUUAUGUUUGCGCAAUAAGUCCGGACAUAUUUCCAUGUAAAUUUUUCGAAUUUGGUUUCAAAAUUCAAAAAUGGAGGGUACUAAAGAAGUGUACCUCUAUCUUUGAGAGGCCGUCACAGUGGUUCUCUCUAUGUCUAUAAUUUGUGACGGGCUGCAGUAUACAGCAAAAAUAUUGUAUUCAAAACGUCCAUGUAAAACAAACUAAAAUGUACUUUAAAAUCGGUUUUAUUAGUUAUACUAAUUAUACAAUUUUUAUAUAACAACGUUCGGGGGACGAAUUUACGAAAGAACAUAUUGUACACCUUUUUUUUUUUAAAUCGAAUUUCCUUGAAAAUAAAUACUAUUUCAAUGUACUAUAUCUGUUAUAUUAUGUUUAUACACCUAGGUAUAUACUUACCAGGUACAUUUUUAGAUACUUUUAGCGGCUGCAUCUAAACCAAAUGAGCUCAAAUCCGGAGGUUAGGGUCUUUUUAUAUUCGGUUGAAAGUAAUAAAAGACGGGUUCGAAUUUAAAUAUAAAUUUCACCGUGUUCUUGCGAGAGAGGGUGAUUUUUAUGGUUUUAAAUAUCCCUCAAGCCCAAAAAUGAAGCCAUGAUGACAUUUUGUACAUGCAUGCCGUUAGUAAUAUAUGGGUCUUUUGGGGGACUUCAUCAACUAUCCAAUUCUACCAAUAUAGUUUUUAUAAUCAAAUUUUACCAUUUUUUAAAAAUAAAUUAAUGUAUUAUAAAAUUGAAUUAUUUUUAUUGUUUUGCAAAAGUAGAUAUAAUAUUAUGCGUUUCUUCUAUCG